AACGAACGCUGGCGGCAGGCCUAACACAUGCAAGUCGAACGCUGUAGCAAUACAGAGUGGCAGACGGGUGAGUAACGCGUGGGAACAUUCCCAGUGGUACGGAAUAGCUCAGGGAAACUUGGGGUAAUACCGUAUACGCCCUUCGGGGGAAAGAUUUAUCGGCAUUGGAUUGGCCCGCGUUGGAUUAGCUAGUUGGUGAGGUAACGGCUCACCAAGGCGACGAUCCAUAGCUGGUUUGAGAGAAUGACCAGCCACACUGGGACUGAGACACGGCCCAGACUCCUACGAGAGGCAGCAGUGGGGGAUCUUGGACGGUGGGGGCAACCCUGAUCCAGCCAUGCCGCGUGAGGGACGAAGGCCUUCGGGUUGUAAAGCUCUUUUGACGGGGACGAUAAUGACGGUACCCGUAGAAUAAGUCCCGGCUAACUUCGUGCCAGCCGCCGCAGUAAAAC
rnacentral:rRNA from 1 species